rnacentral:rRNA from 1 species
AAUAGAUACCCGGGUAGUCCACCCCGUAAACGUUGGGAACUAGUUGUGGGGUCCUUUCCACGGAUUCCGUGACGCAGCUAACGCAUUAAGUUCCCCGCCUGGGGAGUACGGCCGCAAGGCUAAAACUCAAAGGAAUUGACGGGGACCCGCACAAGCGGCGGAGCAUGCGGAUUAAUUCGAUGCAACGCGAAGAACCUUACCAAGGCUUGACAUACACCAGAACACCCUAGAAAUAGGGGACUCUUUGGACACUGGUGAACAGGUGGUGCAUGGUUGUCGUCAGCUCGUGUCGUGAGAUGUUGGGUUAAGCCCCGCAACGAGCGCAACCCUCGUUCUAUGUUGCCAGCACGUAAUGGUGGGAACUCAUGGGAUACUGCCGGGGUCAACUCGGAGGAAGGUGGGGAUGACGUCAAAUCAUCAUGCCCCUUAUGUCUUGGGCUUCACGCAUGCUACAAUGGCCGGUACAAAGGGCUGCAAUACCGUGAGGUGGAGCGAAUCCCAAAAAGCCGAUCCCAGUUCGGAUUGAGGUCUGCAACUCGACCUC